GUCGGUAUCGAUUAGGGGUUAAAUCACUUCGUUGUGGUUGAAUCAUUCCGAAGAGCCGCUGGUUCGAUUCCAGCUACCGACA
rnacentral:tRNA from 1 species